CUCCACUCCCUCACACUCUCCUCCUGCCCUCCACCACGAAAUGCUGCUGCCCCUUGCUCCCAUGGCCGGCCAUGGCCAUGGAAAGCCACCAAGAUGGAGCUCCCCUCCUUCCCCAAGCUUCCCCUCACCAUGAGAGCAUCCCUCUCACUCUCUUCUCCCCUAAUCUUUGAUGAGUCCAGCUCACUUUCUCCUUUCUCCUCUCACUAGAUUGGAUCUUGAUGCAGGUGCAUGUUGGUCCAAGCAUGGAGAAGGUUGAGCUAUCCUCAGAUCUGAAGUUCUUGAGCAAAAUCCAAAUCGAGUGAUUCAAAGUUCCGCAGAUAGGUAUUGAAAAGAUCUACAACUUGGCGUUGGUCUCAUCCUCAAAUUCGUUACGGAUUUUGAAUGAUAAAGAUCUGGUCAGAUCUGACUUUGUCGAAUUAAACCAGGAGCCUGGAGACGAAUUUUUGAAUGAAACCAAUUGGGGGAUAUUUGGUUUAUACCAUGGUGAUAACCGAGAGAGGCAAUUGCUAAGUUGUGAUGCACUCAUACCUUUACUAGAUGCGAACAAUUCCGGAGAAGAAGAAGUGGAAUCGGAUGAGAAGAUUAUUUAUAUUGUUGGAAUUCUUAUAUUGAUGGAGUUGAAGAAGUACAGGGACAAAUAAGCCAAGGCAAGCCAUCUUUUGACCUCUGAUUCGGUGUCUAGUUGGAUGUCAUUUGUUGAUGUCCAAAGCACCUUGGUUCUAUGUGUGUUGUUCUCCUUAUUAUUGUCAUAUAUGUAUGGUUGCUAGUGGAGUACUCCCUAGUGGUGAUACUCCACUAUUGUCUUUGUGAUUAUGGGAUGCAUGGUAUCAUGGCCGUGCUAUUCCUCUUGGUUAUAUUGUAUGCUCGACUUGAGCAUGUUCCAUCUCAAGAUAAUGACUUACACUACACCCACCACUUUUGUAGUAUAGAGGUAUCAAUGUCAUGAUCUUGGUGUAUUCUCAACUUGAGAGGAGUAUGCCGUGUACCCAUUGGAGAGUAUGUUGGAUAGUGAUAAUCCACUAUCUAAGUUGUAUAUUUAGCACCACAAAUCUGAAAGUAUAAUCCUCCUUGUGUGGUCAUAGUACAUGCUUACCUUAAGCAA